GACGAACGCUGGCGGCGUGCUUAACACAUGCAAGUCGAACGGAAAGGCCCUGCUUUUUUUUUUUUCUCGUUUGGCGAACGUGUGUGUAACACGUGUGUAACCUGCCCUUUACUUUGGUAUAUCUUCAGGUAACUUUGUCUAAUACCGUAUAUGAUCUCCUGCUGCAUGUUGGUUGUUGGAAAGUUUCGGCGGUUGGGGAUGGACUCGCGGCUUAUCAGCUUGUUGGUGGGGUAGUGGCUUACCAAGGCUUUGACGGGUAGCCGGCCUGAGAGGGUGACCGGGGACAAGGGGACUGAGAGACGGAACAGACUGCAACGGGAGGCAGGAGUGGGGAAUAUUGCAAAAUGGGCGGAAGCAUGAUGAAGAAAAGCAGCGAGCGGGAAGAAGGCAAUCGGGUUGAAAAAAGAGUUAGAAUGAGAAGAAGAGGGAGUGACGGUAAUGGGUAAAGAAGCAACGGCUAACUACGUG
rnacentral:rRNA from 1 species